AUCAGCAUUUUGGGCCAAACGAAACGCAUCAGCGAGACGACUCCGCCCCUCCGCCGCCGCUCUCCUUCGUCUCUGGCCACCCAGACCAGUCCGCCGCCGCCAAGGACGAAGCCCCUCCUCCCGUUGACGGGAGCACCUCACAGACCAGGGAGGCCGCGCAAGACGAUCCGCGCGCGCGUCCGCUCCCUCCUUAUCUGAGGCCGGCGGCGGAGGGGAGGGGCGCGGAGGACGUGCUCGUGGUGACUCGCCCGGGCUUCUGCUGCCACCGUCGUCUCCACCGACCACGUCUGCGAGCUGCUGCCGGAGAAGGCCGUUGAGGUCAUCUUCCUCAACCUGGCGCCGCUGCACCCGCAGAUCUGCUUAGCUAAAGCUGUUGCCGGCGCAGCGAGAUGAUUUAGUUACGCUCUUUGCCUAGCCUAAUGGAAUGUAUGGCUGCCUCCUUCGACUCCUACAUCACUGCAUCCCCCAUCAGCGAGACACACAAGGCAGGACAACGAUGCUGUUUGUCUUAUGAUCCAGGCCAUCUUCCUCAACCUGGCGGCGGUGCACCUGCACGUCUACAACACCCGCAGAUCUGCUUAGGUAAAGAUGUUGCCGGUGCCCCUCCUUUCGCAGCGAGAUGAUUUAUUUUCGCCUCCCUCCACGUUGGUGCAUUUGACGAUUCACUCCCUGAUACAUGCAAAUGUACAGCUGCCUCCUUCAACUGGUAUGACUCCUACAUCACCGUGUCCCCCAUCUGUGAGCCACAGAAGGUCAACUUUAUGCCUUUUUCGGUUUCCAGGUUUAAAUAAGUACGAUGCAGCAGCGAUUGAAACAUGUGCAGCGGUAACACUUUUUGGUUGCUCUAAGAAAAUGUAACAUGUUACAGAUCUUCCAUAAAUUCAAUGCGAGCUUUGUAUAUCUAGUUUGCAUGGUGUUAGCAUUCCCAUCUUGGCUAAUGGUGUUAUGGCAGUAGCUUCCAAAGGCGGUAGCCUGUAACUUGCAAGGCUGGUUGUGUCUUCAUGCUGAUUGCUAUUUGAGUUGAUCUUGAUCUAGUAAUGAA